rnacentral:rRNA from 1 species
GACAGAGGUGGCAAGCGUUGUUCGGAAUUACUGGGCUUAAAGGGCGCGUAGGCGGUGGAGUAAGUCUGAGGUGGAAGGUCAGGGCUUAACCCUGAAAUUGCCUUGGAAACUGCAUCACUUGAGUCAGCGAGGGGAUGGCGGAAUUCCAGGUGUAGCGGUGAAAUGCGUAGAUAUCUGGAGGAAGGCCGGUGGCGAAGGCGGCCAUCUGGCGCUGAACUGACGCUGAGGCGCGAAAGCGUGGGGAGCAAACAGGAUUAGAUACCCUGGUAGUCCACGCCCUAAACGGUGGGUACUAGGUGUAGGGCUCGUAAGGGUUCUGUGCCGUAGGGAAACCAUUAAGUACCCCGCCUGGGGAGUACGGCCGCAAGGUUGAA